UACGUAGGGACCGAGCGUUGUCCGGAUUUAUUGGGCGUAAAGCGCGCGUAGGCGGCCGAUCGCGUCGGAUGUGAAAGCUCGGAGCUCAACUCUGAGAGGUCAUUCGAUACGGGUCGGCUAGAGGCAGGUAGGGGAGAUCGGAAUUCCUGGUGUAGCGGUGAAAUGCGCAGAUAUCAGGAGGAACACCGGUGGCGAAGGCGGAUCUCUGGGCCUGUUCUGACGCUGAGGCGCGAAAGCUGGGGGAGCAAAC
rnacentral:rRNA from 1 species